AGGAAGACCCUGGCCUCCAUCUUGAAAACGGAAAAUAAAAACAGCAGACCUAUGAAGGUCGAAGGGGAAGAAAAGCUGUAUCGAUUGUUGAGAUCUGGCGACUUGUUUAAAUUUCAUCAGCCUCACUUCUAUGAACUCUCAGAGCUGAUUACCAACUCCUACCACUGUUAACCCUCAUCCAGGAACAAGCUUAUGUCUUUAACAUUCUGAGUGGGCUUCAGCAUCCUUGCAUAUGUUCAAUUCUUAAAAACCUGUUGAAAUAAAAGAUCAGGAGACAUAGGAAGGAUGCCAGAAGAGAGCGUGGCCUCACGUGUACCAGCUCUCUGCUCUCCUUUGCCUUGGGACGUUCCAUCCCUGGAAGUUUCCCUGCCCACAUCUUUGUAGAGAGUCCAUUCUCCAAGCUUCAGUGUGUCAUCUGUGAGGACCGUGACCCACCUGGUACAUCGCCUCAGGGCAUUCAUUUCAGGCUCCUUCUAAAUGGCCAAGAGGUGAUUAGAACUCUAACAAAUGUUUCAGGACCAUACUAAGAGGCUGUAACCAUUGACUGUGGUGGACGUAUCAGAUUGAAGCCCUGGGGCAUGGCCACAUCAUUAUGACAAUAGUUUAAGUUGUUAAGAAGCUCAAGGACCAACAAGUGAGAAUGUAAUUCUCUAUCAAGAUUGCCAGCUGUUUUUAAGUGUUUGGAGACCAAGAUGAAGACCACAAGAAUCAGUGGCAGAUUGUCAAAGCAAUGAUGCAGAAGCCUACCAUUACCAUUAUGAGCCACAAGAGGUACAAUUGUGUUUUCUGCGAUGAUGAAAUCCUCGUUGAGCUCAUUGAAAGCCUGGGUAUAAUUAGUUUGUAAACAUUUCUGGAAUUCAAAACUUUUUUUUUUUUUUAAGGAAAAGAAUGAUCUGAAUAUAUAGCAAAUGAAA
rnacentral:lncRNA from 1 species